rnacentral:rRNA from 1 species
GAUGAACGCUGGCGGCGUGCUUAAUACAUGCAAGCCGAGCGAACAAUUGAGGAGCUUGUUCCUCGGAGUUUAGCGGCGGCGGGGUGAGUAACACGUGGUUAACCUCCUUAUAAGACUGGGAUAACUUCGGGAAACCGGAGUUAAUACCGGAUAAUAUUUUGAACCGCAUGGUUCAUUAGUGAAAGAGGGUUUUGCUGUCCCUUUUGGAUGGACCCGCGCCGCAUUAGCUAGUUGGUAAGGUAACGGCUUACCAAGGCAACGAUGCGUAGCCGACCUGAGAGGGUGAUCGGCCACACUGGAACUGAGACACGGUCCAGACUCCUACGGGAGGCAGCAGUAGGGAAUCUUCCGCAAUGGGCGAAAGCCUGACGGAGCAACGCCGCGUGAGUGAUGAAGGUCUUCGGAUCGUAAAACUCUGUUAUUAGGGAAGAACAAAUGUGUAAGUAACUAUGCACGUCUUGACGGUACCUAAUCAGAAAGCCACGGCUAACUACGUG